AAAUAGAAAAGAAAUGUUGCAGAGGUGAAAUAGAUGAGAGGCGCUGCAGAGGUGAAAUAAAUGAGAGGUGCUGUAAAAUUGAAACAGAUCAGAGAUGCUGCAGAGGUGAAAUAGACAAGAGAUACUGUAGAAAUGCAAUAGAUGAGAGAUUCUGCAGAGGUGAAAUAGAUGAGAGAUGCUGCAGAGGUGAAAUAGAUGAGAUGAUGGAGAGGGAAAAUAGAUGAGAGAUGCUGCAGAGGUGAAACAGAUGAAAGAUACUGCAGAGGGGAAAUAAAUAAGAGAUGCCGCAGAGGUGAAAUAGACAAGAAAUGAGGAGAAGGGAAAUAGAUGAGAGAUAUUGCAGAAAUAAAAUAAAUGGGAGAUGCCACAGAGAUGAAAUAAAUGAGAGAUGCUGCAGAGAUGAAAUAGAUGAGAGAUGGUGCAGGGGUGAAAUAGACGAGAGAUGAUGGAGAGUUGAAAUAGACGAGAGAUGCUGCAGAGAUGAAAUAAAUGAGAGAUGCUGCAGGGGUGAAACAGAUGAAAGAUACUGCAGAGGGGAAAUAAAUAAGAGAUGCUGCAGAGAUGAAAUAGAUGAGAGAUGCUGUACAGGUGAAAAAGAUGAGAAAUGAAAUAGAUGAGAGAUGCUGCAGAGAUGAAAUAGAUGAGAGACACCGCAGAGGUGAAAUAGUUGAGAUGCUGCAGAGAUGAAAUGGAUGAGAGAUGCUGCAGAGGUGAAAUUGACGAGAGAUGCUGCAGAGGUGAAAUAGACAAGAAAUGAGGAGAAGGGAAAUAGAUGAGAGAUAUUGCAGAAAUAAAAUAAAUGGGAGAUGCCACAGAGGUCAAAUAGAUGAGAGAUGAAAGAGAUGAGAGAUGCCGCAGAGAUGAAAUAAAUGAGAGAUGCUGCAGAGAUGAAAUAGAUGAGAGAUGGUGCAGAGGUGAAAUAGAUGAGAGAUGAUGGAGAGGUGAAAUAGAUGAGAUGAUGGAGAGGGAAAAUAGAUGAGGAUGCUGCAGAGGUGAAAUAGACAGGAGAUGAUGGAGAGUUGAAAUGGACGAGAGAUGCUGCAGAGAUGAAACAGAUCAGAGAUGCUGUAGAGGUGAAAUAGAUGAGAGAUGAAAUAGAUGAGAGAUGCUGCAGAGAUGAAAUAGAUGAGAGACACCACAGAGGUGAAAUAGUUGAGAUGCUGCAGAGAUGAAAUGGAUGAGAGAUGCUGCAGAGAUGAAAUAAAUGAGAGGUGCUGCAGAGGGGAAAUAGACAGGACAUGACAGGGAUGAAAUAGACAAGCGAUGCUGCAGAGGUGAAACAGAUGAGAGAUGCUUCAGAAGUGAAAUAGACGAAAUAAUGAAGAGGGGAAAUAGAUGAGAGAUGAUGGGGAUGUGAAAAAGAGGAGAGGUAAUGAAGACCUGAAAUACAUAAGAAAUUCUUCAGAGGUGAAAUAGAAGAGAGGUUGCAGAGGUGGAAUCAAUAAGUCUUGGCACCAUACUGGAUCUGGAGGGUGAGAGAGUGAGGAGUCCAGGGUGGUCUCUAGGUGGGGAGCCUGAGAGUCUGAGAGGAUGGUAGUUCCCUCUGUCAUAAGAGAGUGUACAUGGUGCAGUGGACAGAGCAUGGCACUGGAGUUAGGAGGGCCUGAGU